rnacentral:lncRNA from 1 species
CAGUCCUGUUUUAACCCAACCCUAUUUUAACCCUAUUUUUAGUUAAGUGUUAGGGCUGGUACAGGGUUAGUCCAUUAAUUUUUUAUCUUGCAAAUCAACAACUUUUUUAUAUCAAUUUUUGUCUUUAAUUAAGUAUGAAAUUAGAAACCCAAAGCUUAAGUUCUUUUUAUUUUAUAACUGUAAAUGUUUAUCAUGAAAUUAAAACCCAAAGUUUA